CUUGGGAGUGGGGAUCCCUCAGUCUGGAUUGCAGGAGGGCGCAGGCCAGGCCGAGGGACCCCACUGGUGCACA
rfam:Myotis lucifugus cont2.28571, whole genome shotgun sequence.